rnacentral:rRNA from 1 species
CUGGCGGCGUGCUUAACACAUGCAAGUCGAACGGAGUGCCUAUGAUAGAGACUUCGGUCAAUGGAUUAGGUUACUUAGUGGCGGACUGGUGAGUAACGCGUGAGGAACCUGCCUUCAGAGGGGGACAACAGUUGGAAACGACUGCUAAUACCGCAUAAGCCCACGGAACCGCAUGGUUCUGAGGGAAAAAGGAUUUAUUUGCUUCAGGAUGGACUCGCGUCCAAUUAGCUAGUUGGUGAGGUAACGGCCCACCAAGGCGACGAUCAGUAGCCGGUCUGAGAGGAUGAACGGCCACAUUGGGACUGAGACACGGCCCAGACUCCUACGGGAGGCAGCAGUGGGGAAUCUUCCGCAAUGGGCGAAAGCCUGACGGAGCAACGCCGCGUGAGUGAAGAAGGCCUUCGGGUCGUAAAGCUCUGUUGUCGGGGACGAAUGUACGAGCUAUCAACAACAGCUUGUAAUGACGGUACCUGACGAGGAAGCCACGGCUAACUACGUG